rnacentral:rRNA from 1 species
ACGGAAGGCAGCAGUGGGGAAUAUUGCACAAUGGGCGAAAGCCUGAUGCAGCGACGCCGCGUGAGGGAUGACGGCCUUCGGGUUGUAAACCUCUUUCAGCAGGGAAGAAGCGAAAGUGACGGUACCUGCAGAAGAAGCGCCGGCUAACUACGUGCCAGCAGCCGCGGUAAUACGUAGGGCGCAAGCGUUGUCCGGAAUUAUUGGGCGUAAAGAGCUCGUAGGCGGCUUGUCGCGUCGGAUGUGAAAGCCCGGGGCUUAACCCCGGGUCUGCAUUCGAUACGGGCAGGCUAGAGUGUGGUAGGGGAGAUCGGAAUUCCUGGUGUAGCGGUGAAAUGCGCAGAUAUCAGGAGGAACACCGGUGGCGAAGGCGGAUCUCUGGGCCAUUACUGACGCUGAGGAGCGAAAGCGUGGGGAGCGAACAGGAUUAGAUACCCUGGUA